rnacentral:rRNA from 1 species
AACGAACGCUGGCGGCAUGCCUAACACAUGCCAGUCGAACGAGACCUUCGGGUCUAGUGGCGCACGGGUGCGUAACGCGUGGGAACCUGCCCUUAGGUUCGGAAUAACUCCCCGAAAGGGGUGCUAAUACCGGAUAAUGUCUUCGGACCAAAGAUUUAUCGCCUUUGGAUGGGCCCGCGUUGGAUUAGCUAGUUGGUAGGGUAAAAGCCUACCAAGGCGACGAUCCAUAGCUGGUCUGAGAGGAUGAUCAGCCACACUGGGACUGAGACACGGCCCAGACUCCUACGGGAGGCAGCAGUGGGCAAUAUUGGACAAUGGGCGAAAGCCUGAUCCAGCAAUGCCGCGUGAGUGAUGAAGGCCUUAGGGUUGUAAAGCUCUUUUACCCGGGAUGAUAAUGACAGUACCGGGAGAAUAAGCUCCGGCUAACUCCGUG